AGAUGCGAGUUGGCACAAGCACUGCAUGGUCUCUUGCAGAUAAUUCAUAACACGCAGCCCUCAACGAUGAAGGCUGCGUCUCCCGAGAGAACGGGACCGGACAAAGGCGUCCUCGUCAGGCCACUGACGGGACGCC
rnacentral:sRNA from 21 species